GACGAACGCUGGCGGCGUGCCUAAUACAUGCAAGUCGAACGCAGUGGGGACGGGUGAGUAACACGUGGGUAACCUCCCAUCAGAGGGGAUAACACUUGGAAACAGGUACUAAACCGAUACUGAUGGAUGGACCCGCGGUGCAUUAGCUAGUUGGUGAGGUAACGGCUAACAAAGGCACCGAUGCAUAGCCGACCAGAUAGGGUGGUCGGACGACCUGGGACGGCGAAACGGCCCAGACUCCUACGGGAGGCAUCAGUAGGGAAUCUUCGGCAAUGGACGAAAGUCUGACCGAGCAACGCCGCGUGAGUGAAGAAGGUUGUCGGAUCGUAAAACUCUGUUGUUAGAGAAGCGGUAUCUAACCAGAAAGCCACGGCUAACUACGUGCCAGCAGCCGGGGUAAUUC
rnacentral:rRNA from 1 species